UUCACUAUCUGUGUGAAGGGGGUAGCCGGGCACGUGUGUUGCUCCCAGCUGAGAGGUCCAGCCUCCCCAGCAGCACCCAGGCAGUCCACAGCCAGGCUGGAGAACACGUAGCCAGGCCCGCUCCCAUGGUCUUCGGUUGCUCCCCUGAGGCCUGGGCAACAAGGAGCAACAAGGGAACGUGGAACAGAUCUGCUGAAUGUGACCCCCAAUGCAGAAGACCGAGGUGUUGACUAGAAGAGCUCUUCGCUAACAACUACUCCAGACCAUAUCAUUAACCAUAUGAACGUGGGAAAGGUAUUGGGCACAUCAUGUUGGAUUUGGAUGUGACUGUCGCUUUGACUCUAUGGGAUAUGGAACACCCUUCUGGUGGAAGGUCUCUCCACACCUGGAAUGGUCUACCUUUAACACCACCUGUGGUUUUGGCAGUAUAGAGGGGAAAAGAAAGAAA